UGGUUACACUGCUGCAGCGAGGUCAGAGGAGAAGGAUCUGUUUUGUACAUCCGAGGAGCUACUGAGCUCAAUGUGUUGGCAAACAGAUCCCACAAUUUCUCCCUCUUCUGAAACCCAAGAGAGGAUGCUUCCUAUGGUAACAGGAAUGGCUUCUCCAAGCUCCUGCUGUGGGUCAACAGCAGAACGGGACCUCAAAUCACCCCAUGCCUGUGCACCAAGCUUUCAUCCUACCCACUCUCAGGCAGUUCUUCCUCCCGGAAGAGUACUAUCUCUUAUUUUCAGAACGAGGAGAUGGAAACUGACUGCACAGAACUUCCCUGAGGCAGCAGACCGUAGAGCGACCCUGUGACAGGUGGAAACCAGCAUUCCUGGGUGCUAAUCAUUCACCAAACAGUGGGACUCAGUUUAGUACUGAGUUUAAAUGGAUUUAAAUAAAUAAUCCACCGUGAGGA